rnacentral:misc_RNA from 1 species
UCUCCGUUGGUGAACCAGCGGAGGGAUCAUUACAGGACUCGCAAGACUCCUUCACCCUGUGAGCCUCACUACAAGCACGUUGCUUCGGCGGGUGUCCCGGCGGGGGUUUACCCUCGCCGGGGCGCACAGCCCGCCGGCAGCCUACUAUACUCUGUCUCUUUGCGUGGGCAUCUCGAGAAAAAACAAACAAGUUAUAACUUUCAACAACGGAUCUCUUGGUUCUG